UACGAAGGGGGCUAGCGUUGCUCGGAAUCACUGGCGUAAAGCGCACGUAGGCGGGUCGUUAAGUCGGGGGUGAAAUCCUGGAGCUCAACUCCAGAACUGCCUUCGAUACUGGCGAUCUUGAGUCUGGGAGAGGUGAGUGGAACUCCGAGUGUAGAGGUGAAAUUCGUAGAUAUUCGGAAGAACACCAGUGGCGAAGGCGGCUCACUGGCCCGGUACUGACGCUGAGGUGACGAAAGCGUGGGGAGCAAACAGG
rnacentral:rRNA from 1 species